CUAUAUUUUUCCACUCGUUUCUCUCGGACAUCGUCGUCCCUAAAGGAUGGGAUGCAUGGACUUACGUCGGCCAUGAGAACAAGAUAACCUUUGCUGAGGAGGAAUGCGAGGGUUCAGGAUCAGACAAGUCGGGGCGGGUGAUGUGGGAGAAAGACUUAAGCCCUAAGGAGAUCAUGUCGUUGACGAGCACUUCUUACAUUGACAACGAGGGCUGGAUUCCUAAACUACCUCUCAACAUCCAAAACUAAUUCUUCCCCAUCUGUAUAAAGAUCAAGUCUAAUUAAGGAGGUCCAAACGCAUGCAAUGACGACGUGUAGAAGGUCUCAAAAAUACUGUACGUAGCUAGCUACUGCAUAUUUUGGGUUUUUCCACCUAUAAAUUUAGCUGUAAGAA